ACCAAAGGAAGAAAUACAUAGGGCAGAGCCUGGGAAAGUACCAACUGGGGAGCUUCCAAUCAUCCUCUCUCUGUGGACUCAAGAGACUAUCUUAGACGUUCCUUCUGGAAUCAUUUCCCUUCUUCUGAAUUGUAUUAAUAAGGUUCUCUGUUGCAGCUUUGGCCAUUGUUGGGUUGGCGCCUCCGGGAAUGCAGGAGGAACAAUAAAAAUGGCUGCAGGGCGGUCAUCUUCCAGGUCUCCCUCUUCCUUAACCCAUGACUCUCCCACCCGAAGGACGAAGGAGUCUGCCGAGGACACGUCACCAUAAGUAAACCAACACCUAUGCAGGAAACAGGAACAUCAGGACUGAAUACCUUACCUAAUAUGGCUGUGAACCUAUCUUAACCCAAAUAAAAGACCCACUCGACCCCCUCCCCGGCGUGACUUCCCCGACUCUCCUCUCCCCAGUCGCGGAACCU